AAAUCACUUGAACCCGGGUUGCAGUGAGGCAAGCGCCACUGCACUCCAGCCUGGGCAAUAGAGCAGGGCUCUGUCUCAAAAAAAAAAAAAAGAAAGAAAGAAAGAAAGAAAGAAAAAUUAAAAAACAGCAGUUUGUGGGAGAGAACCGGUGGUUCUGCUCCAAGCUCAGGAUCUUCUAUCUGGCCCUGUUCUGAACCUCCAGCAUCCAACCCCUGGCCCCAACCCUCAGGCCAGCUCU
rnacentral:lncRNA from 10 species